rnacentral:rRNA from 1 species
GACGAACGCUGGCGGCGUGCCUAAUACAUGCAAGUUGAGCGCUGAAGGUUGGUACUUGUACCAACUGGAUGAGCAGCGAACGGGUGAGUAACGCGUGGGGAAUCUGCCUUUGAGCGGGGGACAACAUUUGGAAACGAAUGCUAAUACCGCAUAAAAACUUUAAACACAAGUUUUAAGUUUGAAAGAUGCAAUUUGCAUCACUCAAAGAUGAUCCCGCGUUGUAUUAGCUAGUUGGUGAGGUAAAGGCUCACCAAGGCGAUGAUACAUAGCCGACCUGAGAGGGUGAUCGGCCACAUUGGGACUGAGACACGGCCCAAACUCCUACGGGAGGCAGCAGUAGGGAAUCUUCGGCAAUGGACGAAAGUCUGACCGAGCAACGCCGAGUGAGGGAAGAAGGUUGUCGGAUCGUAAAACUCUGUUGGUAGAGAAGAACGUUGGUGAGAGUGGAAAGCUCAUCAAGUGACGGUAACUACCCAGAAAGGGACGGCUAACUACGUG